GACGAACGCUGGCGGCGUGCUUAACACAUGCAAGUCGAACGAUGAAGAAGAGAAACGCGAACUUCGGUUCAAAUUUCACUUCGGAUUAGUGGCAGACGGGUGAGUAACGCGUGAGCAACCUACCUCUUACAAAGGGAUAGCCUCGGGAAACCGUGAUUAAUACCAUAUGACACAUUCAUAAGGCAUCUUAUGAAUGUUAAAGCUACGGCGGUAAGAGAUGGGCUCGCGUCCCAUUAGCUAGUUGGUGAGGUAACGGCCCACCAAGGCGACGAUGGGUAACCGGCCUGAGAGGGUGAACGGUCACAUUGGAACUGAGACACGGUCCAAACUCCUACGGGAGGCAGCAGUGGGGAAUAUUGCACAAUGGAGGGAACUCUGAUGCAGCGACGCCGCGUGAGCGAUGAAGGAAUUCGUUUCGUAAAGCUCUGUUCUAUGGGAAGAAAAGGACUGUACCAUAGGAGAAAGCCCCGGCUAAAUACGUG
rnacentral:rRNA from 1 species